rnacentral:rRNA from 1 species
ACCAGCUCUUCAAGUGGUCGGGAUAAUUAUUGGGCUUUAAAGUGUCCGUAGCCGGUUUAGUAAGUUCCUGGUAAAAUCGGGUAGCUUAACUAUCUGCAUGCUAAGAAUACUGCUAUACUAGAGGGCGGGAGAGGUCUGAGGUACUACAGGGGUAGGGUGAAAUCUUAUAAUCCUUGUAGGACCACCAGUGGCGAAGGCGUCAGACUGGAACGUGCCUGACGGGUGGGGGACGAAAGCCAGGGGAGCGAACCGGAUUAGAUACCCGGGUAGUCCUGGCCGUAAACGAUGCAUACUAGGUGAUGGCAUGGCCAUGAGCCGUGUCAGUGCCGUAGGGAAACCGUUAAGUGUGCCGCCUGGGAGUACGGUCGCAAGGCUAAAACGUUAAAGGAAUUGGGCGGGGGAGCGACCACCGAAGGGGUGAAGCCUGCGGUUC